rnacentral:rRNA from 1 species
UACGAAGGGGGCUAGCGUUGCUCGGAAUGACUGGGCGUAAAGGGCGCGUAGGCGGCUUGCACAGUCAGGCGUGAAAUUCCUGGGCUCAACCUGGGGACUGCGCUUGAGACGUGUGGGCUUGAGUGGGGAAGAGGGUCGUGGAAUUCCCAGUGUAGAGGUGAAAUUCGUAGAUAUUGGGAAGAACACCGGUGGCGAAGGCAGCCCCCUGGGUCAAAACUGACGCUCAUGCACGAAAGCGUGGGGAGCAAACAGG